AGAGGAAGAAGGGAAGAAUUCUCAUGCAAAAAGGGAGAAGAAUUAGAGAAAGGAAGAAGAAGAAGGAGAAGAAGAAUAAAGAGAAGGCAGAGAUCUUAGAGAAGAAGGAGAAGAAUUAGAGGGAAGAAGAGAGGAGGAGAGAAGAAUAGAAGGAACCUAGUAUUUGGGGAGAGUAAUCUGCCAUGGAUGCAACUCCCACGAAGCAAGUUUCAGUUGUUGCCCAUUGAUCUAACAACUCUGAUACCAAUUUGUUACAUAUCAGCCUGCAUUUACUGAAACAGAGGAAUAAGGAGAGAAAGAGAUAGAAAUAGAUAAGAAAAAGAAAAGAGGAGAGAGUAGAUGA
rnacentral:misc_RNA from 1 species